rnacentral:rRNA from 1 species
GGGUUGUGAGGUUAAGCGAAUAAGCGUACACGGUGGAUGCCUAGGCAAUCAGAGGCGAUGAAGGACGUGCUAAUCUGCGAUAAGCGUCGGUAAGGUGAUAUGAACCGUUAUACCCGACGAUUUCCGAAUGGGGAAACCCAAUAUCCAAUGGAUAUUAUCAUUAACUGAAUACAUAGGUUAAUGAAGCGAACCGGGAGAACUGAAACAUCUCAGUACCCCGAGGAAAAGAAAUCAACCGAGAUUCCCCUAGUAGCGGCGAGCGAACGGGGAACAGCCCAGAGUCUUAAUCAAUAGCAGCAUCAGGAGAACGGUCUGGAAAGUCCGGCAGUAAAGGGUGAUAGCCCCGUAUCCGAAGAUGCUGUUAUUGUGAACUCGACGAGUAGGGCGGGACACGUGUUAUCCUGUCUGAAUAUGGGGGGACCAUCCUCCAAGGCUAAAUACUCCUGAUUGACCGAUAGUGAACCAGUACCGUGAGGGAAAGGCGAAAAGAACCCCGGCGAGGGGAGUGAAAAAGAACCUGAAACCGUGUACGUACAAGCAGUAGGAGCCCCAUCACUCAAGUGCCUCGCACUGAGUGAUUGGACAAACCACUCGAAAACAGCGCAGCGUUUACCUACAAAGUGGAUUGAUUUUUUCAAGCCGUCGCGCAGUGUACAUAGAAGUACACGAGCAACGGAAGUUAAAAAAUCGAGCCAGUUUGACAGUAAAAGCAAGCGGGACAUUUGAGGAUGGGGUGACUGCGUACCUUUUGUAUAAUGGGUCAGCGACUUAUAUUCUGUAGCAAGGUUAACCGUAUAGGGGAGCCGUAGGGAAACCGAGUCUUAACUGGGCGAAUGAGUUGCAGGGUAUAGACCCGAAACCCGGUGAUCUAUCCAUGGGCAGGUUGAAGGUUGGGUAACACUAACUGGAGGACCGAACCGACUAAUGUUGAAAAAUUAGCGGAUGACUUGUGGAUGGGGGUGAAAGGCCAAUCAAACCGGGAGAUAGCUGGUUCUCCCCGAAAGCUAUUUAGGUAGCGCCUCGUGAAUUCAUCUUCGGGGGUAGAGCACUGUUUCGACUAGGGGGUCAUCCCGACUUACCAACUCGAUGCAAACUGCGAAUACCGAAGAAUGUUAUCACGGGAGACACACGGCGGGUGCUAACGUCCGUCGUGAAGAGGGAAACAACCCAGACCGCCAGCUAAGGUCCCAAAGUCAUGGUUAAGUGGGAAACGAAGUGGGAAGGCUCAGACAGCCAGGAUGUUGGCUUAGAAGCAGCCAUCAUUUAAAGAAAGCGUAAUAGCUCACUGGUCGAGUCGGCCCGCGCGGAAGAUGUAACGGGGCUAAACCAUGCACCGAAGCUGCGGCAGCGACACUAAGUGUUGUUGGGUAGGGGAGCGUUCUGUAAGCCUGCGAAGGUGUACUGUGAGGUAUGCUGGAGGUAUCAGAAGUGCGAAUGCUGACAUAAGUAACGAUAAUGCGGGUGAAAAACCCGCACGCCGGAAGACCAAGGGUUCCUGUCCAACGUUAAUCGGGGCAGGGUGAGUCGACCCCUAAGGCGAGGCUGAAAAGCGUAGUCGAUGGGAAACGGGUUAAUAUUCCCGUACUGGUGGUAACUGCGAUGGGGGAACGGAGAAGGCUAGGUUGUCCGGGCGACGGUCGUCCCGGUUCAAGCAUGUAGGCAGAGUGAUUAGGCAAAUCCGGUCACUUAAUGCUGAGGUGUGAUGACGAACCACUAAGGUGGUGAAGCAAUUGAUGCCCUGCUUCCAGGAAAAGCCUCUAAGCUUCAGGUUACCAACAAUCGUACCCCAAACCGACACAGGUGGUCAGGUAGAGAAUACUCAGGCGCUUGAGAGAACUCGGGUGAAGGAACUAGGCAAAAUGGUGCCGUAACUUCGGGAGAAGGCACGCUGGCGGUAAGUGAAGUCCCUUGCGGACGGAGCCGAAGCCAGUCGAAGAUACCAGCUGGCUGCAACUGUUUAUUAAAAACACAGCACUGUGCAAACACGAAAGUGGACGUAUACGGUGUGACGCCUGCCCGGUGCUGGAAGGUUAAUUGAUGGGGUUAUCCUUAGGGAGAAGCUCUUGAUCGAAGCCCCAGUAAACGGCGGCCGUAACUAUAACGGUCCUAAGGUAGCGAAAUUCCUUGUCGGGUAAGUUCCGACCUGCACGAAUGGCGUAAUGAUGGCCAGGCUGUCUCCACCCGAGACUCAGUGAAAUUGAACUCGCUGUGAAGAUGCAGUGUACCCGCGGCAAGACGGAAAGACCCCGUGAACCUUUACUAUAGCUUGACACUGAACAUUGAGCCUUGAUGUGUAGGAUAGGUGGGAGACUAUGAAGUGUGGACGCCAGUCUGCAUGGAGUCAACCUUGAAAUACCACCCUUUAACGUUUGAUGUUCUAACCUAGGUCCAUAAUCUGGAUCGGGGACCGUGUCUGGUGGGUAGUUUGACUGGGGCGGUCUCCUCCUAAAGAGUAACGGAGGAGCACGAAGGUUGGCUAAGCAUGGUCGGACAUCAUGCGGUUAGUGCAAAGGCAUAAGCCAGCUUGACUGUGAGAGUGACGGCUCGAGCAGGUACGAAAGUAGGUCUUAGUGAUCCGGUGGUUCUGAAUGGAAGGGCCAUCGCUCAACGGAUAAAAGGUACUCCGGGGAUAACAGGCUGAUACCGCCCAAGAGUUCAUAUCGACGGCGGUGUUUGGCACCUCGAUGUCGGCUCAUCACAUCCUGGGGCUGAAGUAGGUCCCAAGGGUAUGGCUGUUCGCCAUUUAAAGUGGUACGCGAGCUGGGUUUAGAACGUCGUGAGACAGUUCGGUCCCUAUCUGCCGUGGGCGUUGGAAGAUUGAGAGGGGUUGCUCCUAGUACGAGAGGACCGGAGUGAACGCACCACUGGUGUUCGGGUUGUCAUGCCAAUGGCAUUGCCCGGUAGCUAAGUGCGGAAGAGAUAACCGCUGAAAGCAUCUAAGCGGGAAACUUGCCUCGAGAUGAGUCUUCCCUGUCACCUAGAGUGACCUAAAGGAACGUUUAAGACUAAGACGUUGAUAGGCUGGGUGUGUAAGCGUAGCGAUACGUUGAGCUAACCAGUACUAAUGAACCGUGAGGCUUAACCUGACAACACCGAAGGUGUUU